AUGGACAUCCUCCCACCACUCCCAAGCGUCCAGAACUCUAGUUACCACAUGUUCAGUACAAUCCUCUCCAAAGAAGAUGGCGCCGGCGGCAUGUCCUACGUGUACAUGUUGGUGGAGGGGGUUGAUGAGAAUAAAGUUUUUAGGGUGCGCGUGUAUAUGUUGCAACGCGGUGUCUGGUGCAUGCAUACCUCAUCUACCACAAAGAUCCCUCUUCUGUUGUUGCCACGGAAAGUUUUGCUUGUUGACAAUAAAAUCUAUAUAGCUGACAAGUUCAGUGACGACAUUAUUGUCUUGGAAUUGCCAGCCUCAAGUUUCUCCAAAAUUUCGGUCCCACAGGGAGUGCAGUGUCACCAUUAUACCACCAUCUUGUCACGAGCCGAUGAUGCAUCCGGUGUAUAUCUCACCCAUGUUCAUGUCAAGGAGCUUCAGCUUUGUAUCUGGCUCCACAAGGGGCACAACUGGUUGCUGGUCAAUACCAUUUGUUUGCGUCAGAUGUGGGCUAAUUUGAGGAUGCUAGAUCAUACGCUUGGGGAUGAGGAUGUUGAUUUUCACUUCUUAAGCCAUGUGGGGGAUAAUGCUGAGUUUGUGUUCUUGGAAAUGUCUAAUUGCACACUCCAUCUGGACGUCACGAGCAGGACACUGCGUAAAGUGCAUGGGACGCCGAUAAAGAAUGGGCAUUUCAUUGCUGUCCAUCCUUUUAUGAUGAUUUGGCCACCCAUAUUCCCUCUGCUGAAGGAUGCUACUGCAAGGAAUGGCAUGUGA
rnacentral:rRNA from 1 species